rnacentral:rRNA from 1 species
AGGACGAACGCUGGCGGCGUGCUUAACACAUGCAAGUCGAGCGGUAAGGCCUCCUUCGGGGGGUACACGAGCGGCGAACGGGUGAGUAACACGUGGGUGACCUGCCCCCAGCUCUGGGAUAAGCCUGGGAAAACCGGGUCUAAUACCGGAUGGGACUGCUUGCCGCAUGGUGGGUGGUGGAAAGUUUUUUUCGGCUGGGGAUGGGCCCGCGGCCUAUCAGCUUGUUGGUGGGGUGAUGGCCUACCAAGGCGGUGACGGGUA